UUGCUAUAGUUUUUUUUUUUCUUCUCUAAAUCAUUGUAUUGGGACUUCUAUGUUAACAUGUUGGAAAAUAUUGACCAGAUUAAAACAUGGUAAAGGAAAGCAAAGAGGUGAGUCUUGAGCGUGGAAAUGCUUUGUGUUAAGGCUUUUGAGUUUUAGAUUGGAUAACAUAGUUUAACAAGUUAGGGGACCAUAGUUGUGUCUCUCAUGCCCCAAGUAUCCCAUCAAUAUUAUCUCAUUUUCAGCUUUCUUGUAUUGCCUUCCCCAUCUAAUUUUGGAGUUUUGUGGAACCCAAUUUGGCUAACCAGUAAUUGAGACUCAAGAAAAUGUACAGUCUCAUGUUAACUAUGUCAGGUUGAAAUAUUGACUCUGUUUUACUUCACAUGAUGUUAUUUAACAUUUUAACUCUUACUUUAUGUUCUACUAUGGUCAUAGAUGCAACUAGACCUAGAUGGGACACAACCGGAGGGCACGGAUGGGACACAGCCAGAGCGCUUAUUGUAGUUCUGGACUUGGUGUUAAAGUCUUGUUGUUGAAGUACCUGAAAAGCUUUGUUGUAAUGCUUGAACUUUGUUAGUCAAGUGGUCCGGAUUUGGUAUUGGGGACUUUGUUAAACUGGGUUGAAUACUGUUGGUGUUGUUUGGUUAUUGAAGAUCUAGAUUUGGUAUUAUUAGGUAUUUUUGUUGUUAUUUUCUUUAAGAUUUGGUGUAUUUUUGUUGUUA